AAUGAACGCUGGCGGCAGGCAUAACACAUGCAAGUCGAACGGAUCCUUCGGGAUUAGUGGCGGACGGGUGAGUAACGCGUGGGAACAUACCCAAAGGUACGGAAUAGCCACGGGAAACUGGGAGUAAUACCGUAUGUGCUCGAAAGAGGAAAGAUUUAUCGCCUUUGGAUUGGCCCGCGUUGGAUUAGGUAGUUGGUGGGGUAAUGGCCUAUCAAGCCGACGAUCCAUAGCUGGUUUGAGAGGAUGAUCAGCCACACUGGGACUGAGACACGGCCCAGGCUCCUACGGGAGGCAGCAGUGGGGAAUCUUAGACAAUGGGGGAAACCCUGAUCUAGCCAUGCCGCGUGAUCGAUGAAGGCCUUAGGGUUGUAAAGAUCUUUCAGGUGGGAAGAUAAUGACUGUACCACCAGAAGAAGCCCCGGCUAACUCCGUGCCAGCCGCCGCCGUAA
rnacentral:rRNA from 1 species